ensembl:lncRNA
AGGAAGAUCCCCUGGAGGAGGAAUUAGCAACCCACCCCAAUAUUCUUGCCGGGAAAAUCCCAUGGACAGAGGAGCCUGCUCACAGGAAACGUCCUGACCAGGCCCACCAGUGAAUGGCUGCGGGAAGGAAGAAAGUUAACGUAUCCCCUCCAGCGUCUGGCGGAAACCAGGACUUUACCCCUCCCGUUUCAGUAUGAGAGAAGCCUGAAGGGACCUUCCUGGUGGUCCAGUGGUUAAGAAUCCACCUUGCAAUGCAGGGGACAUGGGUUCGAUCCCUGGUCAGAGAACUAAGAUUGCAUGUGACGCGGAACAAAUGAGCCCUUGUGCCUGAACUACAGAGUUCCUGCGUCUCAAUGAAAGAUCUGCAGGACUCAACGAGGAUCCCAUAUGCCUCACCUAAGACCCAACACAGCCAGAAAAUAAAAAAGGAAAAGAAGCCUGAACUCUAGCUCAGGGAAGAUGGUUCUCUGGGACACUAAUCCACCACCUUCUCGGUGUGCUGGCUGUCCAAAAAAAUUGCUGUUCUCUGCCCCAACAGUUCGUCUCCCCAUUUAUUGGCCUGUCCUGCUGCAAGCAGUAAGACUCAGCAACAGUGACCUCUGGGACCUCUGUCUUUCCCGCUCUGCACAAGGGGCAGCACAGCCUCUGGACACAGGCAGACCCAGCUGGGGUGGCAGCUCUGCCUCUCACCUGCCGGGUGACCUGGGACAAGCCUCACCUCCCAGCCUCAGUUUCCCCAUCUGUAAAGUGGGGAUAGCUACUCCACUUGGCUAUAGGUGGGAGCCUGUGUGGGAAGCACCCAAGACUUCACCUGGCACAUCUUAGACCCUCCGGGAGAAGCACCCGUCAGCUGGGAGAGCCAAGCUGCUCAUGUGACUGGCAGAAGCCUCCUCCUGGGGCCCUUGGCAUUCUGGGCAGGGAGCCAGGCUCCAAGGACUCCUGUAGAGAUUUCAUUUAUGACACCUUUCUGAUUCGGUGGUUUCAGACACAUGCGGCUGAAGGAUAAAAAUAAAACCCAUUGGAGACGUCUGCCCUGAUUCAACAGGGGGAGGGUUUCAACCACAGACAGAGGAGCCCUAUCAGGGUGGAUGGAUGCUUGGGACUUGGGAGGGAGUGCCAGCCCCUUGGGCCUGAGUCAACUCCGAACCAGAAGUCAGACUCUGCCCCAGACCACGGCGAUGCGUCCCCCGAGCUGAUAAUAAACACCUCGCCACCACGGGACAGCUGAGGAAACAGAGGCUCGGUGCAGCAGAGACACGAGCUCUGACCCACGCCUGUACGGCUUGUGCAUGCUCCACGGGGCUGAGGCUUCUAAUCGAAGCUCUGGAAGGUUCUUGGUCUCCAGGGCCGGAUCCCCAGCCCAGGCCCGGGUGUGACAGGUUGGCAGCCAGGCGCAGGGGCAGCCCAGGGCAGACACACUGCAGACUCAGUCCUCUCCCAUCUCCAUCCACACCUGUCUGUACGUCCUGUUCGGGUUUCUCUGCGGGGCUCACCUGCUCUCGGAGCUGGCAGCCUGCAGAGAUGCCUUCUGAAGCUCAGAUCUUGUUCAGGGCCUGAGGCCUGUGAAUGCCUUUGAAACAGGAGAGAAGAGGGCAGGGCACAGCCUCUGAAACAAAGACAGAGCCCUUGAUGACCCGACAUAAACUGGUUAGAACCAACUGGGUCCAAGAUGGUGGAAGAUUCAACUUCCAGAGGACCUUGAGCCUCUUUAUAUGCUUAUUGUGACUCUUAUCUACACGGCAUGGCCAGGGGCGCCAUGACGGUCCAGAGGCCGGCCAUAAAAGGCCAAAAACUGAGCAGUGGCCCAAUUCCUAAAAACCUCUGCCCCUUUACCAAGAGAGGUGGAAUAAACCUCCCACUCGUUGCUGUUGUUGAGUCACUAAGUCGUGUCCGACUCUUGAGACCCCAUGGACUGCAGCCCACCAGGCUCCUCUGUCCAUGAGAUUUUCUAGACAGGGAUACUGGAGUGGGUUGCCAUUUCCCUCUCCAGGGGGUCUUCCCGAUCCAGGGAUUGAACCCGGGUCUCCUGCAUUGAUAGGUGGAUUCUUUACCACUGAGCCACCUGGGAAGCCUCCCACUAAUUAUCCAGCUUAUAAAAAACUAACCACCCCAUUUUCUGGGGCCUCUUGCCUUCUGAGAUGGCCCACACUCUGUGGCUUGUGUUUCUCCCAAGGCCCACCUUGCUUUUGAGACAGAUCGCAUUCUGUCUACGGAAUGUGUCUCUCUCUAAAUCCACUCAUCACUUUGUCUCGCACUGAAAUCUUUCCGCGACGAAACAUAAAGAACCUGGGCUUCAUUAAGUCCUGAGACCAGGGCAUCCUCCUGAAUCCGAACCCCAUGCCCACACCCAGGGCACCCCAUCACCACCACCCAAACAGCCCCGGCAGUGUGUCAUCAGCUGUGAAGACUUUAGACGUGGCCCACUUGCACCUAGCAGCUGGCCUCACCCGCAGCGUGGAAGAUGGGCUGGAAACGUGAAAUGCCUGUUGUUGGCGUGGCAGGAAGAGGAUCGGAAAAGGAGGCGAGGUUUCUUAUGCAAAACCUGUAAAAAUAAAACGUAUUUAGAUUCCUCUCUAGAAAUGUGUCUGCCUAAAUACACCCACACUGGAGAGUAUUCUGAUCAACUUCCCUAUGUGCUGCAAGAGUUCCCGUGUCGGCGUGUC